rnacentral:lncRNA from 1 species
GGGACUCGCCAGCGAGGGAUGCCGCCGGCCGCCGGGGGCCUUCUCCAGGACCAGGAGAGAAAUCCUCUCUCCGCUUCACGACGCGGCCACUCCCACCCCUGAGACGCCCACCUGGCGGACUCUGAGGGAGGAUUCGGCUGCGUCUAAUACCACCUCCACCCCUCAUCCCUCACAAUGCGCGGAAAACCACAGGCGGCUGUGCGCGCAGCGUCGGCUCAGCCACCGCAGCUCCUCCCCUGGGAUGAAAAAGCACUCUGACGUCUUGAAAGCUGGCAGCUCUCUGUUUGGAAAAUCUCUGCCCAGUGAAAAAAUGUACCGACAAGAUUACUAAGUAACACAGUCUUCUGGGAAUGCCUUAUCAAUGCCAGCUAUUUGAAGAGCACCCAAAGUCAAACUAGUGCUCCGCGCUGGCAGUCUGGAAAAGGCAGAUAAACCAAAAAGGAUGGAGUUCAGAGACCUUCCAUGUUGAUGAACAAGAACACAUUCACCUGCUGUAGGGGUAGGUGUACCCCAAAACUCCACUGAUACAGAAGCUUCUAUACUCAAGACCCUUCUAUACUCAAGACCCUGGAUCUUACCCUAUAUAUCUCUUCAUCUGGCUAUUUAUUUGCAUCUUUUAAUAUAUCCUUUGUAAUAAACUAGUAAUCUAGAAAGCAAACUUUUCCUAGCUCUGUAGGCCAUUCUAGUAAAUGAUUAAACCUGAGGAGGAGUUAUGGGAACCUUUGAUUUGUAGACAAGUUGGACAAAAGUGGUAUAUAUCCUAAUAUAACAUGGGAACCUGCCACUUAUGAUUGGCGUGUGAAAUUGGGGGAUGGGGAAGCAGUCUUGUGGGACUGAGCCCUUAGCCUGUGGGGUCUAAUGCUAUCUUCAGGUAAUAUCAGAACUGAGUUAAAUUAUAGGAUACCAGUCAGUGUCCAUUGGAGAACUGAAUUAUUGUGAGGAGAAACCCACACAUUUGGUGGCUAAAAGUAUUGAUGUGAGUAGUAGCAUAUAGGAGUUUUUUGCUAUAUACAUAUGUAGUGUAAGUUUAAAGUAAAAAGUUUUGUAUUGUCAGGAGUGACUUCUUUGCACCUAAAUAUCACUGCUAUAACUGCGUUACUAAGGAAUAGUUGCUUGCUUUUAUGUAUUUGGCACCUGCAGCUACUGUUCUAAAAAGUUUGCAUGUGUUAACCUAUUAAUUAAAUCUACAAAUGACUGGCUGUACCCAUGAAGUGAGUUAUUCUAAAGACAAUGGAACAUUUAAAUGGUUUAGAAAUUUUUUGAUUAAAAAUACAUUAAUAAUAUCUCCUAAAGAA